UUAAGCAUAUCAAUAAGCGGAGGAAAAGAAACUAACAAGGAUUCCCCUAGUAGCGGCGAGCGAAGCGGGAUGAGCUCAAAUUUGUAAUCUGGCGUCUCCCGACGUCCGAGUUGUAAUCUAUAGAAGCGUUUUCCGUGACGGACCGCGUCCAAGUCCCUUGGAAUAGGGUAUCAAAGAGGGUGAGAAUCCCGUGCUUGAUGCGACGACCGUUGCCCUGUGAUACGUUCUCUACGAGUCGAGUUGUUUGGGAAUGCAGCUCUAAACGGGUGGUAAAUUCCAUCUAAGGCUAAAUAUUGGCGAGAGACCGAUAGCGAACAAGUACCGUGAGGGAAAGAUGAAAAGCACUUUGGAAAGAGAGUUAAACAGUAUGUGAAAUUGUUGAAAGGGAAACGAUUGAAGUCAGUCGUGUCCAUCGGAUUCAGCCGGCCCCGCCGGUGUAUUUCCUUUGGACGGGUCAACGGUCUUCUGGUCGGCGGAUAAAGGCAUGCGGAAGGUGGCACCCUCGGGUGUGUUAUAGCCUCGUGUCUCAUACGCCGGUCGGGGGAUUUGUACUUGGGCUUGCCCAUGUUGUUGACGUAAUGGCUUUAAACGACCCGUCUUGAAACACGGACCAAGGAGUCUAACAUGCCUGCGAGUGUUUGGGUGUCAAACCCAUGACGCGCAAUGAAAGUGAAUGCAGGAGGGAUCCGCAAGGAGCACCUUCGACCGAUCUGGAUCUUCUGUGAUGGAUUUGAGUAAGAGCAUGCAUGCUGGGACCCGAAAGAUGGUGAACUAUGCCUGAAUAGGGUGAAGCCAGGGGAAACUCUGGUGGAGGCCCGUAGCGAUUCUGACGGCAAAUCGAUCGUCAAA
rnacentral:rRNA from 1 species